AGAGUUUGAUCCUGGCUCAGGACGAACGCUGGCGGCGUGCUUCAUACAUGCAAGUCGAACGGUGCAGCAAUGCACAGUGGCGGACGGGUGAGUAACGCGUGAACAAUCUGGCUUAUGCCCAGGGAUAACUAUUAGAAAUAGUAGCUAAUACCUGAUUAGACCACGGCAACGCAUGUUGAAGGGGUCAAAGUUGAGGCGGC
rnacentral:rRNA from 1 species